ACUGUCUGAAGGACACCUACUGUCUGGCUCGCUGGCUCUUUGAUGUCACUUGGAUUAGUAACCACAGGUAAUUGGCUUGGAGCGUGAAUAAGGAGGCCGCAGUCAUUUACAUGGAUAAUCUAAUUAUGUGCAGGAAUUGAAAGACACAUGGAUUAAUGGCUUAAUUUCAUACGGAAAGUACCGUAGGUUCCAUAUUCACAUGAUCAAGAGGGAAGAGUCUUCAUGGUGUACCUGGUUGUCACGGCAACAAAUCACACAGACAUGGACACCUCAAGGGGUUGGAUGAUGAUGAUGAUGAUGAUGAUGAUGAUGAUGAUGAUCUGUCCUACUUCAUGGAACCAGUUACUGAUGCAGGAAAGGCUGAAUUUAUACAACUGGUGAAAUAUACAACUGUACUGAACAAAACAAGUUAGGGAACAUGAAACGUCUUUAUAUCAUACAUCUUCACAGAGCUACAGAUAACUGUUUGGGUCAUUGAGUUAUGUACUCACUUGUGUUCAUCUCAAUUGGG